CAGAACGAACGCUGGCGGCAGGCCUAACACAUGCAAGUCGAGCGCGAAAAUACUUCGGUAUGAGUAGAGCGGCGGACGGGUGAGUAACGCGUAGGAAUCUAUCCAGUAGUGGGGGACAACAUGGGGAAACCCAUGCUAAUACCGCAUACGUCCUAAGGGAGAAAGCGGGGGAUCUUCGGACCUCGCGCUAUUGGAGGAGCCUGCGUUGGAUUAGCUUGUUGGUGAGGUAAAGGCUCACCAAGGCGACGAUCCAUAGCUGGUCUGAGAGGAUGAUCAGCCACACCGGGACUGAGACACGGCCCGGACUCCUACGGGAGGCAGCAGUGGGGAAUAUUGGACAACGG
rnacentral:rRNA from 12 species